rnacentral:lncRNA from 1 species
GGGGACCCGAGGCCAGAGCCUGGCGCCCGCGGGCGGGGCGGGGGGCUGGCGGCGGGGCCAGAACUUGGCCCUCGGACACAGGGGCGGGGCUGAACCGCCUCCCAGCUACUACGCACUGGGGGCAUCUCGCACUGGGGGCAUCUCGGAGGUGCCUUCAGCCUCAGAGGCCUCGGAGUUGAUUUCCUCCUCCAUAAAAACAGGAUCCCCAGGACCUACCUCUCAGGUGAGCCGCAGGGAUGCCAAGCAGCCGACUCCCAGCCCCGGAGACGCUCUCCCUACAGGCAGGGAACCAGGCAUGAGACAUUUUGGAAUCACAGGAACUAAGGAACCAUCGACAACCCAGGGUACUGCCUUUGGGAGGGCUCAGGAUGAUGCUACAGAGUCAGUGGCUUCUGGGAUGGGGCUUGAAGGAGCAACAGAAGUUCAUGCCCGGGGGCACCUGGGUGGCUCAGUGGUUGAGCGUCUGCCUUUGGCUCAGGUCGGCUCAGGGCGUGAUCCUGGGGUGCCGGAUGGGGUCCCCGCAUGGAGCCUGCUUCUCCCUCUGCCUGUGUCUCUGCCUCUCUCCCUGUCUCUCAUGAAUAACUAAAUAAAAUCUUAAAAAGAAGAAGAAGAAGAAGAAGAAGAAGAAGAAGAAGAAGAAGAAGAAGAAGAAGAAGAAGAAGUAGUAGUAGUAGUAGUAGUUGUUCACUGGGGGCAGAAGAGACAUGCUGUUCCAGGCAGGAGGAAGAGCGUGCACAAAGACUUGGGGGUGUGAAAGUCCGUGAUGUGUCUGGAGGAGCGAGCAGAUUGAGUGGCUUGGACCAAGGGUGCUGGAGGGGAGGAGUUGAAGGAGGGAAGAGGUGUGAGGGGUAGCUGAAAUGACAGAUACCCCAGGCCAAGGGAUUUAGACUUGGGUUUGUUGCAGCAAGCCAAAGUGUCCGCUCCACUCCUGAGAGAGACAGACAGGAACAUGAACGGCUAGAAGGAGCAAAGCUGACAGGAAGUGAGAUAAAAAGGUCAGUGCCAGCCCAGUGAUAAAAAGGCCAUUCACGCAUCCUCUGGGGACUAUGGUGCACAUGUAAGCCCCAGGGACCCCUUCAGAAGGCCACAGUUGUUACUGAGCUCCAAGCAGUUAUUGUCAUGCUGCCGUGUGAGCUUAGAGUUGUCAGAUAUUUUCAAGAAAAAUUAGAAAUGUCGAUUUUUAUGGAUUGCCCCUGGGUUUUUAGAUGUUGGUAACUAUUUUUUAAAUUUUAAAACCGUGUGUGUGUGUGUGUGUGUGUGUGUGUCCAAUACGCACAUAAACACGAAUGUGCAACUGCUGCAGAGUUGCAGGAAAGCCACUGGAAGUUUCGUCAAGAGGGAGGUGCUCUGAAUAGCAGGCUUGGGUGUUCGGAUGCCCACUCGGGGGCAGUAUGGAGGAAUGGCCUGGUAAGUGGGACAGUUGCAAGUGUCUGGACCAAAGGGGCCGAGGCCUGAACAAAGGCGGCUGACCUGGAGAGGAGGGAAGGCUCCCAGACACAGUGUAGGGGUCUUCGGGGAUUAGCCCUUCCUGGGGGGGUUAAGGGUUUAAGUCUCCUAUCCCUUUGUCCCCCUUAAGAGAUUGCAAAAACAUCAUCUAGUGGGUGGGGAGGCCUAUUUGGAGUGGGAUGCUCCUGAAAAUCCCCAAGGUUGCGCUGUGGCAGGCCACCCCGAAGGACUGGGUAAGACAUUCCAAACAGCCUGAAGAGGGAGGGGCCGUGCUGGGGGAGGGGCUCAGGAAUCCGCCUGGCCUUCAGGAAGACCCCAGCCAGCCCUAAUGGGAACCACACGUGGGGUGAGCUGGAAUCCCGGAUUGCCUGUGACGUUUGGCUUUGGAAUUGGACACUUGGCUCAGGUCACUCCUGACCCGCUGAAGUCUGAGGCCUCCCAGCUCAGCUCCCCUCCUAAUUGCUGCCAGACACAUUCUGCCCUGUACCCGGCUCCGGGGGCCGGCCUGGGUCCCCCAUCUCUUGCUAGGAGAACACCUAUGCUCUGAGGGAGUGUGUGUGUGUGUGUGUGGGGGGGGGGUCAGACAAGAAUUCUACAAGGCUUGAUCCUCUCAGAAUAAGCAGAACAAGAAGUCCCUUCCAGUGUUUCCCCAAACAGGACCCUCUGAACUGGUGCUAGAGCCCCGGGCUGCUUCUGGCUUUGCAAAGCCUGGUGCCCUCAGCCUCCGUCCUUCCCGUCCCCUGCAGCAUCUGUAGGGUGCUGCGUGGCUCUGACCGUCUGAGCCUCCCCCAUAUCCAUACCCUGCAGGGUUAAUUUCCUGCGGGACCUCAGGCAUGAGGAACAGGGAGCAGUCCAAAGGGCAGGGAAGAGCCCUGAGAGCAGGUGCUUUGCUCCUGAAGAUUUGCUGUUUGUAAAAAACGGGAGGGGAACAGGUCUCUCCUAACGUUUUCUGGUAUUUUCUCUUCUCCUCCUUCAAACACCCCCUGGCCCAGGGAUGAAGCUGUGUUACAGGAUGUCUCCGCACAAUCUGGAGGGCCUGCAAAAAGUCCCAGUCCUUAUUUGGCUGGUUCACUCCAGCCUCUGGGCCGUGGCUGUCUUCACACCUGCCAAACCCUCUCUUCAUAUGGCCCUGCAACUAUACUGUGUAUGAAUGGGGAGGGGGUGCUUCCUGCUUAAGUCCCAGACACUUGCCUUGCCAGUGGCCCCCUCCAGGCCCUCAGGCCCAGCCCCCUCCCCCUGGGUACCCUCCUUGAGAACUUCCAGGCAGCCUGCUCAGCAUCAGGCCAGGGGCCCAGGAGCUUGGACUGACUGCAUUCCUGGGGGAAGGGGAGAGAAGAGGAGGGCGGCACAGAGCCCCCCUCCUCCCUUCCAGCACAGACCCCAUGCUGCCCAGCCCCAAGCUCUCUCUAGCCUGCUGUAGUUGGCUAGAGUAAUGCCAGCAAACCCCUGGCAAAGCCCAAGCCAGAGGCCUAGGGGCCUCUCUUGAGGAUGAAGCCAUCCCUGCCUUGGAGCUCUCCGGCUCCAGCACCGAUUGGGGGCCCCGGGUGGGCGUGGUAAGAGGUCGCUGGGGCGAGGCCACCAGGUGCAGAAGGGAUGCAGGGCGGAGGGCUACAGCGGCCCUGGGCAUCCUUUAGCACCGCAGGCCUGCGGGCCAGCGCCAUCCCCUGAGCCUCUGGGGGGUGGGGGGGCCGAGGGACUUGCAGAGAAAUCAGGCCCAGCCCAAUGGAACUCAGGCAGCGGCUGCAGGAGGCGGGCGUGCUGGGGAGGAGCCAAGAGGGGGCUGAGGCUGAGGCUGGGGCUGCAGGUAGUCCUCACCCCCAUCCCCCAGCCCCCAGCCCGGUUUCGGGAAGCUCUCCCGAUGAAUAUUUAAUAGCUCAGCGCUGGGCCUGAUUGAAUUUUAAUGCGGGCGACCCGAGCCCGGAGCCCGAGUCCAGGCAAUUAGUCAGGAGCCAUU